rnacentral:tRNA from 1 species
GUCCCUGUAGUGCAAUGGAUAGCGCGUUGGACUUCUAAUCCAAAGGUCGUGCGUUCGAAUCUCACUUGGGAUU